rnacentral:rRNA from 1 species
GACGAACGCUGGCGGCGUGCUUAACACAUGCAAGUCGAACGGAAAGGCCCUGCUUUUGUGGGGUGCUCGAGUGGCGAACGGGUGAGUAACACGUGAGUAACCUGCCCUUGACUUUGGGAUAACUUCAGGAAACUGGGGCUAAUAACGGAUAGGAGCUCCUGCUGCAUGGUGGGGGUUGGAAAGUUUCGGCGGUUGGGGAUGGACUCGCGGCUUAUCAGCUUGUUGGUGGGGUAGUGGCUUACCAAGGCUUUGGCGGGUAGCCGGCCUGCGAGGGUGACCGGCCACAUUGGGACUAUGAGACGGCCCAGAGUCCUACGUGAGGCUGCAGUGGUUAAUAUUCCCCCAUGGGCUGAAGCCUGAUGCAGCACCGCCUCGUGCGGGAUGACGGCCUUCGGGUUGUAUACCGCUUUCACCUGUGACGUGGCGUUUGUGACGGUGAUUGGUAAAGAUGCACCGGCUAACUACGUG